rnacentral:rRNA from 1 species
GUACGUAGGGGGCAAGCGUUGUCCGGAUUUAUUGGGCGUAAAGAGCUCGUAGGCGGUUCGAUAAGUCGGGUGUGAAACCUCCAGGCUCAACCUGGAGACGCCACCCGAUACUGUCGUGACUAGAGUCCAGUAGGGGAGCGUGGAAUUCCUGGUGUAGCGGUGAAAUGCGCAGAUAUCAGGAGGAACACCAGCGGCGAAGGCGGCGCUCUGGGCUGGCACUGACGCUGAGGAGCGAAAGCGUGGGGAGCGAACAGG